ACGCUCGACACCUACGGGAGGCUGCAGUGGGGAAUAUUGCACAAUGGGGGAAACCCUGAUGCAGCGACGCCGCGUGAAGGAAGAAGUAUUUCGGUAUGUAAACUUCUAUCAGCAGGGAAGAAACUGACGGUACCUGACUAAGAAGCACCGGCUAAAUACGUGCCAGUAGCCGCGGUAAUCUGAGCGGGCUGGCAAGGC
rnacentral:rRNA from 1 species